GGCCUUUUGGAGAUUUAUAUAAAAGGUUGGGCCUGCCCGGUGAUCUGAAAUGGUUUAACGGCUGCGAUUGAAACCGUACUAAGGUAGCAUAAUAAUUUGCCCUUUAAUUGGGGGAGAGAAUGAAUGGUUUGACGGUAAAAAAGCUGUUUUAAAAAUAAAAAAAGAAGUUAACUUUUAAGUGAAAAGGCUUAAGUUUUUAUAAAAGACGAGAAGACCCCGUCGAGCUUAAUUAGAAUAACUUAAAUGUAGGUUAUUUAAAAUUUUAUUGGGGCAAUAGAAAAUGAAAUGAAUCAUUUUUUUUAUUAUAAGGAUCCAGUUUUGACUGAAAAAAGCAAAAGCUACCGCGGGGAUAACAGGGUAAUUUUUUCUGAGAGUUCAUAUUUAAGAAGAAGUUUGCUACCUCGAUGUUGGAUUAGAAUUUCUUUAUGCUUGCAGCAGGUAUAAUAGUAGGACUGUUCGUCCUUUAAAAUUUU
rnacentral:rRNA from 1 species